ACAACUUUGUUCAGAGAUAUUUUGAGAAAGUUGUAUAAUGAAUUUAAAAAUUCAAAUCCAUUUGAGCAGGUCCUCAAUUUUAACUUCAAAAUUGGGUAACGUUAAUUUACCUGAUUGUGGUGAUUAUGAUGAUAAAGAUGUUAAUAAAUAUGAUGCAUUUUUCAUCAUUGUCCAUUUUUACCUUUAUCUUCAUCUCAUCAAUAUAUUUGUUGUCAUAGCCAGCGCAAUAAGAUAAGUAAAUGUUACUCUUUUGCACUCUUAAACAAUACACCCUUUAAUAUGCAUAGUUUGCUCUAAAGAAAGUAAUAAAGAGAUUAAUUAGAACUGAUAAAAAAGUCGAAAUUAAGAUGAAAAUGAUAAGAAAUAAUGAACUUAGUAAACCAAUUGAAAGCAAUGAAAAAUCAAGACAAAAUUUUGUCUUGAAAAUUAAAAAAAGUUGUACUCAGGUAGGUUUAACUAUCACUAUAUCAAGCCCGAAGAGCAGCGAAUAAGAUCAUGCAUGGGAAUACCAAAAGGAAAUAUUUAUUUUCAUAGAAAUCUUCUCUUUUGAAGUCUAGUAACAUUAAAUAUUUGAAUUUAAAAGAAGCUCAAUUUACUAGAAACUGUCGAAUUAAUUACCAAGCAACUUUCCUUCUACCAUGUAAGAUGCCACUAAACCAUGAGUAAAAUUAACGGAAUAUUUGAAAUGCUGAAAUCUGACAUUUCUCUCGUAUGAAUCUUGAAAUCCUUAUGGAGCUUCUUUGACUAGAGGUUAAUAAGGAUGAACUCAUUCAAUUGUUAUCCACUUUAUUUCAACCCAUUUGGUUUGCUUGUUUCUUGGUUAGCAAAAUGUUGUUCAAACCUUAGUUACCAUAACUGCCAUUGGAAGUAUCAUUGGGAUUUUGAAUUUAACAAGUUUCACCAAUCCUGAUUUUAGUUUCAUGUUUAAAUUGAUCAACAUCUUGAAAUGAAACUGAUUCUGAUUAGAACAUAAUCCAAGCUUCGACAAUUAAGCCUUUUUGUUUCUCGAACUAAUCACCUUUACAAUUCAAAAUUUCAAUAGAUGUUAUAUGCAUGAGACGAAGAGAGUUUUGCCAAACAAAUCUUAAUUCAAUUUAAAUAAUUCCUGCUGAAAAGAUUUUGAAUUGCAAAGUUAUUGUAAAACACAUCUACAGAAACAUCUGUGAUCAAUUUGUUAUCACUGCUAGAUCUUUUAGAUUGAAUAGCUGCUAAUCAAGUUCAGCGACAUUCAUCAACAAUCUUUAAAUAUCCAAUUACUCUUGAAUAAAUGUUGAAAUGAAAAAUGAAAUUAUACUCAGCCAGUUGUCAAGAUUAUGAAUAGUUUAAACUUGACUAUAAAUCAGCUUCAGAAUGAAACUCAUAAUCUUUACAUGUUUAUUUGCAGCUGUAUGGACAAAUGAAAGCGGUCAAAUAUCAGAGACAACUUUGAUAGAGUCUGAAGAUGACUUCAGACAAGCUCCUGCUAAGAAUCUUUUUGGUCCAUGGGUGACGGUUCCAGUUGAUGAUCCGAUUAUUCAAAAGUACACCGAGCAAGCUCUUGAAAGACAAAAUAAAGAGUUCGGUGAUCGGUACAAAAGAUUGGUGUCAAUUAAUCAGGCUAAGAGACAGACCCUUUCUGGAUACAGAUUUGAAAUCGAAAUGAUCAUUCGCGAAACUGAUUGCAACAAAAAUGACCCCAAAAAGCAUCAAUGCCAAUUCAAUAGCGCUCGAGCACCUGAGCCAGUUGUCUUUGAUGUAUGGGUAAAAGGAGACUAAUAGUUACAAACUUAAAGCGCUAAAGAUGAACCUAAAAAUUGACUUAAGUUUGGCCCGUUUUUGUUCACUUAACCAUUACUGUGAUUCAUUGUACCUUUAUGAGGAGUAUUUGCAUCUAACGUGUGUAUUAUUUGCUGAAAAAUGAAUAUUGUUCAAUAAAAAAAGAUAAUUUGUUUUUCA